ACUGUCUCUUUUUCGGCCUUAUCGCCAUUUUGCUCGGUAGGUGUUCGGUGUGCUUGGGUUCCGCGUACAAUCUACAAACAUCUGGUCUCUGUACUUACCAUCUUCCUAACUGUCGCCUUUUUCUCUUUCCCAGUAGGAACCUCCGCGCCAUGAGAGCCAAGUGGAGGAAGAAGCGAAUGCGCAGGCUGAAGCGCAAAAGGAGAAAGAUGAGGCAGAGGUCCAAGUAAACCAUUAGCGUGUGGAGACCUGGGGAGCAGAAAUAUGGAAUGCCAGAGGCCGGGGAUGCUGAUACAAGUUGUUGACUGCAGGCUACUGUCUCGAACUUCUCUCUCAAUAGACCUAGAACUUCCAACAUUGUCCAUCUUCCACGAAGACCUCUGAGAGACCCACCUUGAUUGUACCAAAGCAGUCCCUUUUGGUCCUUUUCCCUGGACCUGUGACAUUCUGGACUAGUUCUGUUCUCAGUUGUGGCCCAAUGUAACACGUACAAUAAAUCAUCUCUUCUGCUGUCUUGGCUGAAGAAUCAAA